CGCGUAGGCGGCUUAGCAAGUUAGAUGUGAAAGCCCCGGGCUUAACUCGGGAAUUGCAUCUGAAACUGCUUUGCUUGAGUCCUGGAGGGGGUAGUGGAAUUCCCAGUGUAGCGGUGAAAUGCGUAGAUAUUGGGAGGAACACCUGCGGCGAAGGCGGCUACCUGGACAGUGACUGACGCUGAUGCGCGAAAGCUAGGGGAGCGAACGGGAUUAGAUACCCCGGUAGUCCUAGCCGUAAACGAUGGGCACUUGGUGUUGGGGGUAUUGAGUCCCCCGGUGCCGGAGUUAACACGUUAAGUGCCCCGCCUGGGGAGUACGGUCGCAAGACUGAA
rnacentral:rRNA from 1 species